CACGUAGGGUGCGAGCGUUGUCCGGAAUUAUUGGGCGUAAAGAGCUCGUAGGCGGUGUGUCGCGUCGGCCGUGAAACCUGCAGCUUAACUGUGGGCUUGCGGUCGAUACGGGCAUCACUGGAGUUCGGCAGGGGAGACUGGAAUUCCUGGUGUAGCGGUGAAAUGCGCAGAUAUCAGGAGGAACACCAAUGGCGAAGGCAGCUCGCUGGAACGGUACU
rnacentral:rRNA from 1 species